CAUUUGUCGGAGGAAUGUAUUUCUGCACUGAGGAGUGACAAGGUUGGCAUCUCUAAAGCUGAAUACAUGGAUGGUGCUGUCCAAAAGUUACUGCUGGAUAUUUUCUUCCAGCAGUAACAGAGGGGGUACCACAGCCAGAAUUCAUAUCAACAUGGAGACAGAGAAUGGUACAAUGAAAGACAUUCAAAGAUUUUUGCGUCUUGAUGACAGCUAUCCUGAAAACUACUUCAUUGUGGGAUCCAGCACCCACAGCCAGCACAUCAACAGCCAGUACUGGAUGAACCUUUUUCAAAAACUGAAGAAUACAGAUUACUUUACUGGUGACUUCUUGGAUAAGCAGCCAAUUCUGCUCACCUGUUUAAAUAUCACUGAGGAAGAACUCUUAAAGUGGUUCACUUAUGGAACAUAAUUCGUAAGAUUAGAGAUACUAUUGCUCCAAGUUGCCGGUCCUACAUGAUGUAUACCCUUCCACGGCUUUUUGGUGAACAAGACAAUCUCAAACAGGUUUCUGAGCAAGCGGCGGAAACUUGCACAGUCCAACGUCUUCAGAGGACCGUUCACACGUAAUGAGACAGUUCGAAGGAUCAUACCUUCUGAUGACAGAGAACUUUCUUCAUGCACCGUCCACACAUGAUGAAACAAUUGAGUUAUGCUUAUUUUUAAGAGCUUAUAUACACACAAACCUGUGACACGUGUGAUAUUUUCUUGUAAAAAAAAAAAGAGUUUGUGGAGCAAAUGACCUUGUGAGCCUGUUCAGAAUGAACCUGUCACUUUCCCACACAGUCAGAAAUAGGCAGCUGCAGACCCCACAACCCAUAAAGGACAGGCAGUCAAAGAAUUACAGAUGGAGGGGAAAAAAAACAGACCUCUGUUUUCUUCGAUUCCCAUGUACUUAAAGGUUUCAUCAUGACGUACAUAACUUUUUGAAUUUUGCUGCUAGGUUUUAUAUUUUCUGUGAUUCUUGUUGUGUUUGACAGUAAAUAUAUGCUGCUACAUAUAUUAGGACAAUAACAAGAAAUCUAACUUCACAUUUGCCUUGUGAUCUAUCAUGCAGGACACAAAAUGUUUAAAUGACAUGUUCUGUAAACCCCUCCACUGCUCCUCAUAUUCAAGACAUACUUUUUAUAUUUAUAACAGCAAGACUUAUAGUUCUCUGUUACUGAACACUGAGACCCAAGUUAUGUACUGUUUGACAAUGACGAUAUGGUCGAAUGAUAUAUGAAAACCUUUAAUGAAUCUUUGGUAAAAACCCAUUACAAAAUGAAGUGUUAUGGUUUGUGAUCAAACCAACUCAUUCUUUCCUUAGAAACAUAACAUUAUACUGCAAUGUUACAUCAACUCACAGAAGAACAUACAUUAAAAGUACCUUUAACAAGU